rnacentral:rRNA from 1 species
UACGUAGGGUGCGAGCGUUAAUCGGAAUUACUGGGCGUAAAGCGUGCGCAGGCGGUCAGUUAAGUCUGAUGUGAAAGCCCCGGGCUCAACCUGGGAAUGGCAUUGGAAACUGGCUUGCUAGAGUGUGGCAGAGGGGGGUGGAAUUCCGCGUGUAGCAGUGAAAUGCGUAGAGAUGCGGAGGAACACCGAUGGCGAAGGCGGCCCCCUGGGCCGACACUGACGCUCAGGCACGAAAGCGUGGGGAGCAAACAGG